rnacentral:rRNA from 1 species
AGAGUUUGAUCCUGGCUCAGGACGAACGCUGGCGGCGUGCCUAAUACAUGCAAGUAGAACGCUGAAGAGAGGAGCUUGCUCUUCUUGGAUGAGUUGCGAACGGGUGAGUAACGCGUAGGUAACCUGCCUUGUAGCGGGGGAUAACUAUUGGAAACGAUAGCUAAUACCGCAUAACAAUGGAUGACACAUGUCAUKUAUUUGAAAGGGGCAAUUGCUCCACUACAAGAUGGACCUGCGUUGUAUUAGCUAGUAGGUGAGGUAAUGGCUCACCUAGGCGACGAUACAUAGCCGACCUGAGAGGGUGAUCGGCCACACUGGGACUGAGACACGGCCCAGACUCCUACGGGAGGCAGCAGUAGGGAAUCUUCGGCAAUGGGGGCAACCCUGACCGAGCAACGCCGCGUGAGUGAAGAAGGUUUUCGGAUCGUAAAGCUCUGUUGUAAGUCAAGAACGGGUGUGAGAGUGGAAAGUUCACACUGUGACGGUAGCUUACCAGAAAGGGACGGCUAACUACGUGCCAGCAGCCGCGGUAAU